AUUGAACGCUGGCGGCAUGCCUUACACAUGCAAGUCGAACGGUAACAGGUCUUCGGAUGCUGACGAGUGGCGAACGGGUGAGUAAUACAUCGGAACGUGCCCGAGAGUGGGGGAUAACGAGGCGAAAGCUUUGCUAAUACCGCAUACGAUCUCAGGAUGAAAGCAGGGGACCGCAAGGCCUUGUGCUCACGGAGCGGCCGAUGGCAGAUUAGGUAGUUGGUGGGAUAAAAGCUUACCAAGCCGACGAUCUGUAGCUGGUCUGAGAGGACGACCAGCCACACUGGGACUGAGACACGGCCCAGACUCCUACGGGAGGCAGCAUUGGGGAAUUUUGGACAAUGGGCGCAAGCCUGAUCCAGCCAUGCCGCGUGCAGGAUGAAGGCCUUCGGGUUGUAAACUGCUUCUGUACGGAACGAAAAGACUCUGGUUAAUACCUGGGGUCCAUGACGGUACCGUAAGAAUAAGCACCGGCUAACUACGUGCCAGCCGCCGCAGUAACAC
rnacentral:rRNA from 1 species